rnacentral:rRNA from 1 species
UACAGAGGUCUCAAGCGUUGUUCGGAUUCAUUGGGCGUAAAGGGUGCGUAGGCGGCGCGGUAAGUCGGGUGUGAAAUCUCGGAGCUUAACUCCGAAACUGCAUUCGAUACUGCCGUGCUUGAGGACUGGAGAGGAGACUGGAAUUUACGGUGUAGCGGUGGAAUGCGUAGAGAUCCCCAAGAACACCAGUUGCGAAGGCGGCCGACUGGACACAUAUUGACGCUGAGGCUCGAAAGCAUGGGGAGCAAACAGGG